GGGUGAUUAGCUCAGCUGGGAGAGCACCUCCCUUACAAGGAGGGGGUCGGCGGUUCGAUCCCGUCAUCACAUA
rnacentral:tRNA from 1 species